AAAACCCUAAUCCUCUCAUCUCUUAUCUGCAACACACAACACCCCUACUCUCCAUCUCUCAAAUACACACACACACACACAUCUCAACAGGGCCGACAUUCUCCUGCCACCACUCACCUGCACCCCGCGUCUCACUCCCUGCUCCUUCUCUCGAAAUUCUGGCAACCACAACAGCUUGGGUUUGUUUCGGGUUGGGUAACGAGGGUUUCGGGCUGGAUCGACGACGACUCAGUGUAGCGGUCAGCGGUUCAGUUUUUCGCGACGGCGGCAGCAUCUUGGGCGACGGGGGUGGUGUAUGUUUCUUUUUCCUUGCUCCGACGAGUCCCAGUGGUGGUCGACGACUGACCGGCGGCGGUCGGAGCCACGCCGAUGCCGGAGACACCAGGUGGUGGAACAGUUAUGGCUGCUUAAGUUGUGGUUCAGAUUUGGUACAAGUUUGGGUUAGCUUCGGGUCAAACUUCGGGAUUGGUUCGGCUCAGGUUAUGUUUGGGUUCGAUUAGCUUAGUGCUGGCUCGAUUCACUCGCGUAUCAGGUUCGGUUCGAGUUUCCGGUUUGAGUUCGGGUCUGUUCUUGUUUCGGGUCACGUUUCUCCGCUGCCGGAGAUCGGAGAACAACCAGAGUUAUGACGGAACUCGAUUCCUUUUGUUUCGGACCUUAGGUACUUAUGGAGCUUGCACUGGAGGAGCGGGACGUUGUGGGCAGUGGAUUAUGAACGCUAUGUUUAAACAUUUCGAAUAAUUGAACUUAUGGUUUACUUGGGUUAUUUACUUAUGCUUCCG
rnacentral:lncRNA from 1 species